rnacentral:lncRNA from 1 species
CAAGCAUCCAAGUGGCGGCACGGGGCUGGCAGAAGCGGGGGCAGUUGCAGGCAGGCAUGUGGUGGACAGGACCCUGAGCGGGCAGGGUGGGCUUAGCUCACAGCUAGGUUCUCUGCUACCACCUAACGUGCAAAAUGUCAUGCAAAACCCAUGUGCUUGCCUCUGCGUGUCUACAUACGGAUCGAAUCUAUCCUCGAUUGGUUAAGCUUUUCGAAUCUUUGAAACCAUUAUUCAUAGCUUAAUGAUCUGUACAGCAGCCAGAAAAGGAUCAAUGUGAGAUUUGGACACUGUUUUGUUUCCCUAGACCCAGGAGUGCUUGGUCCAGCUCUGGGUGACCAUGAAAGUUUUGGAUUCCCAAUCAGGGUCGAGCAUGUUUGCCUGCUGUGAGUGAAGAGCUGGAGAGACAGGGGGUGGAAGCUGCAGGAGCUCCUGGAAUAUGGGAGGGGCCGAGCCCCAGGCACGAGCCUUCCCACUCAGAGGCUGUCAGGCUUCCUUGUUUUAUUCUAAUGCUGACGUUCGGAAGAACAAGACCUGUUGUCGGAACGAUGCCUCGUUUCUCAGGUUCACACGUAGGAAUGCGUGUUGCACGGCACAGCUGCUACCCCGAUGAAAGCCCAGGAAAGCCUGAGUUCAGGUGCUCAGGGAAACCGAUCCCAGACAGCGGGCAGGACUCCUCGGAGGGGAUCAGCAUCGUACGAAACGGCGGAGUUUACUCCUGCACUAUCGUAUAUCCGGCAGCUUCUGGAUCACGGCACCCAUCUGCAUAAUGCAGGCGCUCUUAAUCCGUAGUUCAGUAAUUGCAGCCAUAGAUCACGGAAUUCAUUCCCAUGGCACACAAGAUAAGAGAUGAAGAAACUGCUUUAUGCAUGCAAAUCAAAACCGCUUGUAUUCCUGAAUAUAAUGAUGAAAAAAAAAGUGAGCUUCCAGAUGUGCCAGAGAGAGAUUUUCAAGACGUACAGUCACUCCGUAACACAUUCUGAUGAAUUUUUCAGAGAUGAAAUAUGCCUUUGAUUAGGGAAGGUUUUUUUCCCUUUUUGAUAAGUCCUGUGCGCACUGGGGUACUCAUUUAGUCAUGAUGUCCUAUGCAAAAUGAAAGGAUAAAACCUUCACUUUG